rnacentral:tRNA from 1 species
CCCGUAGCUCAGCUGGAUAGAGCAUCAGAUUUCUAAUCUGGUGGUCACAGGUUCGAAUCCUGUCGGGU